AAUGACGUUCGCUGGGCUCACACGUGCUACAAUGGUCGGUACAGAGGGUCGCCAAGCCGCGAGGUGGAGCUAAUCUCACAAAACCGAUCGUAGUCCGGAUCGCAGUCUGCAACUCGACUGCGUGAAGUCGGAAUCGCUAGUAAUCGCGAAUCAGAAUGUCGCGGUGAAUACGUUCCCGGGCCUUGUACACACCGCCCGUCACACCAUGGGAGUGGGUUGCACCAGAAGUAGCUAGUCUAACCUUCGGGAGGACGGUUACCACGGUGUGAUUCAUGACUGGGGUGAAGUCGUAACAAGGUAGCCGUAGGGGAACCUGCGGUUGGAUCACCUCCUU
rnacentral:rRNA from 1 species